rnacentral:rRNA from 1 species
CGUGUAGGCGGCUCAUCAAGUCUGGUGUGAAAUGGACAGGCUUAACCUGUCAUAUGCGCUGGAAACUGGUGGGCUUGAGUUCUUGAGGGGAAGCUGGAAUUCCAGGUGUAGGGGUGAAAUCUGUAGAUAUCUGGAAGAACACCGGUGGCGAAGGCGAGCUUCUAUCAGAGGACUGACGCUGAGGCGCGAAAGCGUGGGGAGCAAACAGGAUUAGAUACCCUGGUAGUCCACGCUGUAAACGAUGUGCACUAGGCGUGGGGCACGUACGUGCUCUGUGCCGUAGUUAACGCGAUAAGUGCACCGCCUGGGGAGUAUGCUCGCAAGGGUGAA